rnacentral:rRNA from 1 species
GACGAACGCUGGCGGCGUGCCUAAUACAUGCAAGUCGAACGCUUUUUCUUUCACCGGAGCUUGCUCCACCGAAAGAAAAGGAGUGGCGAACGGGUGAGUAACACGUGGGUAACCUGCCCAUCAGAAGGGGAUAACACUUGGAAACAGGUGCUAAUACCGUAUAACGCUAUUUUCCGCAUGGAAGAAAGUUGAAAGGCGCUUUUGCGUCACUGAUGGAUGGACCCGCGGUGCAUUAGCUAGUUGGUGAGGUAACGGCUCACCAAGGCAACGAUGAAUAGCCGACCUGGGAGGGUGAUCGGCCACACUGGGACUGAGACACGGCCCAGACUCCUACGGGAGGUAGCAGUAGGGAAUCUUCGGCAAUGGACGAAAGUCUGACCGAGCAACGCCGCGUGAGUGAAGAAGGUUUUCGGAUCGUAAAACUCUGUUGUUAGAGAAGAACAAGGAUGAGAGUAAAACGUUCAUCCCUUGACGGUAUCUAACCAGAAAGCCACGGCUAUCUACGUGCCAGCCGCCGCAGUAA